rnacentral:pre_miRNA from 1 species
GCAGCAUUCGGACCAUUCGGUCUACCGAGCAAUAACAUCCGCUGGGUGGAAGAUCUUCCCUUUGUCGU